CCUACGAGAGGCAGCAGUGAGGAAUAUUGGUCAAUGGGCGCGAGCCUGAACCAGCCAAGUAGCGUGAAGGAUGACUGCUCUAUGGGUUGUAAACUUCUUUUAUAAAGGAAUAAAGUGAUGCACGUGUGCCUUUUUGUAUGUACUUUAUGAAUAAGGAUCGGCUAACUCCGUGCCAGCAGCCGCGGUAAUACGGAGGAUCCGAGCGUUAUCCGGAUUUAUUGGGUUUAAAGGGAGCGUAGAUGGGUUGUUAAGUCAGUUGUGAAAGUGUGCGGCUCAACCGUAAAAUUGCAAUUGAUACUGGCAGUCUUGAGUACAGUUGAGGUAGGCGGAAUUCGUGGUGUAGCGGUGAAAUGCUUAGAUAUCACGAAGAACUCCGAUUGCGAAGGCAGCUUACUAAACUGCCACUGACAUUGAUGCUCGAAAGUGUGGGUAUCAAACAGGAUUAGAUACCCGUGUAGUC
rnacentral:rRNA from 1 species